UCCCUGGUGGCUCAGAUGGUAAAGAAUCUGCCUGCAAUGCAGGAGACCUGGGUUCGAUUCCUGGGUUGGGAA
rnacentral:tRNA from 1 species